AGGGAAUCUUCCGCAAUGGACGAAAGUCUGACGGAGCAACGCCGCGUGAGUGAAGAAGGUUUUCGGAUUGUAAAGCUCUGUCAUCUGGGACGAUAAUGACGGUACCAGAUGAGGAAGCCACGGCUAACUACGUGCCAGCAGCCGCGGUAAUACGUAGGUGGCAAGCGUUGUCCGGAUUUACUGGGCGUAAAGGGAGCGUAGGUGGAUAUUUAAGUGGGAUGUGAAAUACUCGGGCUUAACCUGGGUGCUGCAUUCCAAACUGGAUAUCUAGAGUGCAGGAGAGGAAAGUAGAAUUCCUAGUGUAGCGGUGAAAUGCGUAGAGAUUAGGAAGAAUACCAGUGGCGAAGGCGACUUUCUGGACUGUAACUGACACUGAGGCUCGAAAGCGUGGGGAGCAAAC
rnacentral:rRNA from 1 species